rnacentral:rRNA from 1 species
CCUACGGGUGACAGCAGUGGGGAAUAUUGCACAAUGGGGGAAACCCUGAUGCAGCAACGCCGCGUGAAGGAAGACGGUUUUCGGAUUGUAAACUUCUGUUCUUAGUGAAGAAUAAUGACGGUAGCUAAGGAGCAAGCCACGGCUAACUACGUGCCAGCAGCCGCGGUAAUACGUAGGUGGCAAGCGUUAUCCGGAUUUACUGGGUGUAAAGGGCGUGUAGGCGGGAGAGCAAGUCAGAUGUGAAAUUCCAGGGCUCAACCCUGGAACUGCAUUUGAAACUGUUUUUCUUGAGUGAUGGAGAGGCAGGCGGAAUUCCGUGUGUAGCGGUGAAAUGCGUAGAUAUACGGAGGAACACCAGUGGCGAAGGCGGCCUGCUGGACAUUAACUGACGCUGAGGCGCGAAAGCGUGGGGAGCAAACAGGAUUAGAUACCCGAGUAGUC